rnacentral:rRNA from 1 species
AUGGGCAACUAUCUGACAAGCACAGGAACCAAACCAGAGGAACAUGUCCAUGUUAAACCAGCGACCAGAUCCACCAAUGGCAAGGGUAGGCCAGACAUUAAACUUCAAGACCUUCCAGAGGUAGAUGUCUUAUGCUCAAUUUUAUCAAAACUGCCUGCAAAAGAGGUUGUUCGGACCAGCGUCUUGGCGAGCGAGUGGAGGUCUUUGUGGACAGCUUGCCCCAAACUAAGUUUCAACGGUGCCCACACGCACGGGGUGAAACAGCAUGCCCAGGUGUUCGUCGACCGUGUUAACGCGGUUUUGCGGAAGCACCGUGGCAAGUUAGUCGAAGGUCUCGAGGUUAAAUUUAUGUUUGAGAGCAAGCUAGUUCAUCACCUCGACAAUUGGAUUAGGUUUGCUAUAUCGUCCGGGACAAAGAAGCUAGCUUUUGAUUUGGCACCCUCAUCCAAUCUCCUGAGACCUGGCUAUCACUACACGUUCCCAUUCCAUCUCCUAGACAAGGAAAGCCUAUCCUGCCUACACUUUCUGCAACUUAGCUUUGUAUGCUUCAAACCUCCUUCCCACUUCGCCGGUCUUCCAAACCUAAGAAAGCUCGAUCUCUAUUUACUGAAAGGCACCACUAGGCAGGAUCUCGAGAAUAUCCUGGGCAACUGCUGUAAACUCGAGUGCCUGAGCCUAGUCAGAUGCCACCUGAACGAUGAGCUGAGAGUCGUUCAGCCGUUGUCGCACUUGCACUACUUGAAGGUUGUUUACUGUGAAAUAACCAAGAUAGAGUUCCACGCUGCAAGUCUCUCCACCUUUGUGUACGAUGGAACAUACAUACCUAUUGCUCUCCGUCACGCUUCCAAACUGGAAAAUGCAAAAAUUUCGUUCCGCGGUGCAGUUUUUCAGCAUGCUGUCGCGUCACUCCUCAGCGGGCUUCCAGAUGUACAAAACCUGACGCUGGAUGUUUUAAUUCUACGGCUAGAGACCCGAUGGGCGUUAAAUAGUCCUCGCGUGUUUUCUCAGCUCAGGCAUGUGCAGAUAAUGUUGAUGAUAUCUUACGAAGAUCAUGAUAAAAUUCUCUACAUAGUUUCGUUUCUAAGGGUUGCUCCGCUCAUUGAAAGGCUGGAAGUACAUUUUAAUGGGACUUCUACCAUGUGGUUUGCAAAUGAGGGACCUUCCAGACGAGAGAUCCCGCCAUGUGAAUACACGCAUCUGAAGAAUCUCCGUGUCUCAGGUUUCAGAGGGGCGAGAGGCCAAGUUGAAUUCCUUAUGCACAUUGUGGAGAAUGCCCCUGCGAUACAGGUUGUGACUGUGGAUACAACUCAAAGACUGACUGAUGCUUGGGAUCCAGAUGAAGUAAAGCCAGAACUCAAUAGUGAUGCGCUUGAUAUGGUUAGAGGCCCUCUGCUCGACAGACUCCCAGUGGGUGCAAAGCUUCUUCUCUCUUAA